rnacentral:tRNA from 1 species
GGGGAGUUAGUUUAUAGCUAAAAUGUCAGGAUGUGGCCCUGAAGAGUGUGGGUUGGGCCCUCAACUUAACA